CACCUCUUGUUACACAAAAUAUAAGAGGCCCCGCCUGCCCUGUGACAAUAAGUUUAACGGCCGCGGUAUUUUAACCGUGCGAAGGUAGCGUAAUCACUUGUCUUUUAAAUGGAGACCAGUAUGAAUGGCAUCACGAGGGCUUAACUGUCUCCCCUCUCCAGUCAAUGAAAUUGACCUUCCCGUGCAGAGGCGGGAAUAUUAAUAUAAGACGAGAAGACCCUGUGGAGCUUUAGACCUAAAAUAAACCACGUCUAGUAUACUGAAAUACCAGCAAAAGCCUAGUGAUUACAUAUUGAAGUGUCUUUGGUUGGGGCGACCGCGGGGUAAAACACAACCCCCUUGUGGACUGGGGAUAUUAUCCCUAAUACUCAGAGCCUCUACUCCAAGUAACAGAAAUUCUGACUUUCUGAUCCGGUAUUACCGAUCAACGAACCGAGUUACCCCAGGGAUAACAGCGCAAUCCCCUCUCAGAGCCCUUAUCGACGAGGGGGUUUACGACCUCGAUGUUGGAUCAGGACAUCCUAAUGGUGCAGCCGCUAUUAAGGGUUCGUUUGUUCAACGAUUAAAGUCCU
rnacentral:rRNA from 1 species